rnacentral:rRNA from 1 species
AACGAACGCUGGCGGCAUGCCUAACACAUGCAAGUCGAACGAGACCUUCGGGUCUCGUUUCGCACGGGUGCGUAACGCAUUGGCACCUGCCCUUAGGAUCGGAAUAACUUCCCGAAACGGGUGCUAAUACCGGAUAAUGUCUUCGGACCAAGGAUUGAUCGCCCUUGGAUGGGCCGGCGUUGGUUUAGCUAGUUGGUAGGGUAAAAGCCUACCAAGGCGACGACCCAUAGCUGGUCAGAGAGGAUGAUCAGCCACACUGGGACUGAGACACGGCACAAACUCCUACGGGAGGAAGCAGUGGGGAAUAUUGGUGGAUGGGCGAAAGCCUGAUCCAGCAAUGCCGCGUGAGUGAUGAAGGUUUUAGGCUUGUAAAGCUCUUUUACCCGGGAUGAUAAUGACAGUACCGGGAGAAUAAGCACCGGCUAACUCCGUG